CAGGUGUUGCACCAGCAGCAGGACCACCACGUCCAGCACCUUUCCCUGGGCCACCUCUUUCUUUAAUGCGAGGCCAAAGGCCGCCGGAUCUUUCACCAGCACCGGAUUUACCAUCUCAAGCCCCUUCACUUGGUCCACCUCCAGCUAUCAUUGGGGUCCUAAGACCACCGGGUGUUCAACCACCACCGGCAAUACCACGUCCAGCACUUCCACCUGGCCCACUUACUGAUGUCAUGGAAGGCCCAAGAGUUCCGG